rnacentral:rRNA from 1 species
UACAUGGGGUGCAAACGUUGCUCGGAAUUAUUGGGCGUAAAGCGCACGUAGACGGUUAUGUAAGUCAGAUGUGAAAGCCCCGGGCUCAACCUGGGAAUUGCAUUUGAGACUGUGUAGCUAGGGUGCGGAAGAGGGAAGCGGAAUUUCCGGUGUAGCGGUGAAAUGCGUAGAUAUCGAGAGGAACACCUGCGGCGAAGGCGGGUUGCUGGGCUGACACUGACGCUGAGGCGCGAAAGCUAGGGGAGCGAACGGG